rnacentral:lncRNA from 1 species
CCAGCUACAAAGAAAGAAAAACAAUUAUAUGAAGAGGUAUGACACGUGUCCCAUUUUAAUUCAGAAAGAAAGGAGUAUGAUUUUUUCCCCCCAAAAAACACCAGUUUCGAAGGCUUCAAGAUGAAAUGUAUUUAAGUUUGAAAUACAAACUAAAUACCAGUGAUGUUAUUUUUAUAAAAAUAGGAACUAAUUAAUAAAAUGGAGAAUAGAUGUAAGGCAUUGCAAGUGAUUAAAAUAAAAGCUUGCUGAAAUAAAUGAAAGCAGUAACUUUAGUAACACUGCUAAAUAGCUGAAAGCAAUAUCUCUUGAGCAGCUAUUUUUCACUUUCUUUACAGUCCCCUGGGUAACUGAAUUAAUAUACCCUCGAAAGGGCAGUAAAAUUAGGCAGAAAAUAAAACAAUUCUUAGUUAAUAGUACAUCACCAUUUCCAAGAUGACCAUUUCAGAUCCAAUAUACAAAAGUUACCAUUCAGUAACCAGACUAAAAUAUAUCAUUGUCUUAAAUGAUCUGAGAUGCUAUUACCUUACAGAGGAAGUGGUAACAUUUCUCUUAAGAAACACGAAGCUUGGGGGGGGGGGGGGCUGCUUUUACUACUUUUGAUACUAGAAGGAAGGACUGCUAGGAACAACAGGUUCCUCAGUGAUGAAUGACAGCUGGGAAUGACAGUUUGUACAGGGAAAGGAAUACUGAUGGUGGUGAACAAGUUCCUGAGAAGGGAACUUGAAUGGAAAUGGACAAUGUGGCAAGCAAGAUAGGGAAGAACGCAAAAUAAAGUACAUGUAAGAGGACAGCAAGAGCAAAAGACAGGGAAGCAAAAGAGCUAGAAAACUGGGCCAGCUAAGACCUGUGUCACCCAAGCAAGACAUAGGAUGUACUUCAGGAAAACCCUGCUGCUGAGUACACACCAAGCAGCAAGUCAAUUCUUGCCACAAUCUGCCUUCGUGCUUCCAGGUAGGGACGAAACUGCCAACAGAAAUAUAUGUGCAGCGAGGUUCUGUGCUUAAGGGAAUGCUGACUUGAGGGAUCUGUCUAUGCAUUGUGUCAGCCCUGCACAUCAGAGAAAACAUGACUGAAAUUGAUCUGAACAGCACUCAGUGAGUCCAUUUCCUCAGCCCAUGGCUAGAGCAUUUCCAUUCCUCUGUGUGCUGAGCACCAGGAACCUCAGCACCGCCUUCUCCUGUUUAAUCGAGGAGCUGCCUGCUUUUAUUUCUGCCUCUACCAGCGCUUACAUAAAAAAAACUAUUCGUAAUCAGGAGGCGGUGAUUAAAAGUUCAUUAAGAAGAACCCACAAAUCACUGACUACUGCUUAUGACUACCUGAGAUGAGGAAUGACGAAAAAAAAACCAACCUUAGUGUCACCCUUGCCAGUGGAAAUUUCUCCUAUAGUACUGUAGAUGACAAGCUUUGUCAGGAAAAGGUAGAAAUUGAGGAGGAUGUCCUCCACUUUUACUGGGCUUCAGAUUUGUAGUGCUACGUGGUAACAAAGGACAGAGAUUCACCAGCAGAUAGGCUCCUGCCACAAUCUAGGUAUUAGAAAAAGCCUUUGUCUUCUAUGACCUGUUAACACUGAGCUACAGUCGUUCUUUGCAUCUACAUUGAUAAUAUGUUUGUGCCACACAGGGCUUAAUUUUUAUCUAUACCUAAUGUAUAUUCAAAGAAAUAACUGUUAAUGCAAAAAGCAAAGGAGGUUUAAAAAAGGAAGCACAAGGAAAAAAGGGAUUCAUCCCAAGGGGAAUUCAACAACAAAGAUGAGAAAUACUGAAGAAAUUUAUAAAGGCAAGCUGAAGAGGAAAAAGGAAAGAAAUCAGAAACGAUACAUACAGAAAGGCAAUAAAAGCAAACAAGAAAACCUUACAAAACCUAGCAUGCUGAUAAACUCAGAAUGGUGUGAGAAGUUAAUCUGCUUAUGAAAAUUCUAGAAUUCAAAUAUGACUUUAAGAAUAGGGCAGAGAAAAAGCUAGAGCUGUGAUAAAUGGCCUAUGACCUAUUGUAUUGGAAAAGCAAAUAACUUGCUUGCUGUGGUCACAUGAAUGGUGUCACUCAGGACCACAUGUGGGUGUGCUUGCAUGUCUAGAAAUAAUCAAGACACAGGGUUACGUGGCACUGAUACCUCAAAUAAAUGGUAAUCUUAUAGCAAUGUUUUUAUUCAUUAAAUAGUCUAGGCUGCCACUUGGAAGUUCUUAUAUUUUACUUGCUUUGUGCUUAGGGAGAUGAAAGCUCUUCCUCUAAAUCGUAGAAACAAAUAGUAGAUAAUUAAAAAAAAAAAGUACAAUUAACCUAUAAUUCCUCUGCUGGACUGUGUGACAACAGUGCAUUGAAUGCUUUACCUAUACACCAGCAUAAACUUUUUUGUAAGCAUAUAAUCACACCUCUGAUUUUUAACCCUGAUGGGUUUCCCCCCUUAUUUUAUCCUCUGAUGCAUUUGGUUUACGUUAUUGAUAGUCAGUUCAGGAAGUAUUCCCAGCACUGAAGUUUGUGUAAAAGACAUGCCAUACAAUUCCCACUGAUAAAAACAAAAAAUCUAGCUGCCAAGAUAUUUUUAGGUGGGAUAAUACUCCUAGUCCAGCCAGCAGUUACAGUCCAUGUCAACCUUCCUCUGUUUUUAAGAUAACAACUGCAUACCCAAGGGAUAGAGCAGUAAUGGCUCCUUGAAGACAUAAGGCAUGCUGGGAUGGUCAGUGCCCAUCUCCUCAUGACAACCCCUUACCAACACUCUUUGCAGUGCAGAGCCUGGGUAUUACAGCCCCUCAUGGUGAGGCCGCUGCUGGGGGAGCAGAGGAGGCUCCUCACUCACUGAAAUGACCUGAAGCGCUCAGCCGCAGCGCCGGCCUUUUUGAUCCUCAGGAUGCACCUCGAGCAGUGCCUUUAUCCCCGUGUUUCCUUUGUUCUGCUGUUCAAAAAGAAAACAAGUUGUGCGUUUUGCCUGCAUCUAUAGCUUUGGCUGCGAGAUUUCUCAAAGAAUAAAAUGGCACUGAGGGGAGAAGGAGAAUACAUCUCCUGAGCUGACCCAUACGUUCUCCACCUCACAGCACAUCAGCGUACCUCUGUACGUGGGUGGCUGCCGCCCUUCCCUCUCUCCUGGCUGCAUCUCAUACGGCACAGGCAAAAAGGGCCUCUUCCCUUCCCCCGAUCGCACUGGCCACGCUUCUCUUUCCAAUUCGCCUUAUUAGCCAUUUUGAGCUAAGCUUGGCGUCUCCAUAGCAGCGGCCCAUUCACCAUUAAAGGGGUGGGGAAGGACUAAGCCGAGAAUUAGAGGCUUCUACACAGCGCUCCCCCAGCCUGUGCUGCGUGCCACAGUGGCAAAGCUGUGCACGCACGGACGGGAGCGGCUGGGAAACCGCGCUGCCUCAGAACACGGAGCUUCGGCCUGAGGCCCCCCGCAGAACUCCGCUCCGUCAGCCUGCAACCGCUGCCCUUGGGAUCUGACGUCCCUGAUGGAGGAGCCGUAAAGGCCGUCUGCAGAAUACUGACAGAGACUCCACGGCACCCUCGGCGGGAGCAGCGCGGAGCCCGGCGCGUCCUCGCUAAGCGCAGAACAAAGCGGCAGCGCGACCAACUGACCGUCACGGAGAGCAGGAGCCACCGACGGCCGGCGCGCCGCUCCCGGCACGGGGCACCCCG